rnacentral:rRNA from 1 species
AGAGUUUGAUCCUGGCUCAGGAUGAACGCUAGCGGCAGGCCUAAUACAUGCAAGUCGAACGAGAUUGUUUUAGCAAUAGAACAUGAAAGUGGCGCACGGGUGCGUAACACGUAUGCAAUCUACCUCUAAUAGGGAAAUAGCUUCGAGAAAUCGGAAUUAAUGUCCCAUAACAUAUUUUGAUGGCAUCAUUGGAAUAUCAAACCUCCGGGGAUUAGAGAUGAGCAUGCGCAACAUUAGCUAGUUGGUAAGGUAAUGGCUUACCAAGGCUACGAUGUUUAGGGGGUCUGAGAGGAUGAUCCCCCACACUGGUACUGAGACACGGACCAGACUCCUACGGGAGGCGGCAGUAGGGAAUAUUGGUCAAUGGAGGCAACUCUGAACCAGCCAUGCCGCGUGCAGGAUGACGGCCCUCUGGGUUGUAAACUGCUUUUAUACGGGAAGAAAAGAUACUACGUGUAGUAUAUUGACGGUACCGUAAGAAUAAGGAUCGGCUAACUCCGUGCCAGCAGCCGCGGUAAUACGGAGGAUCCAAGCGUUGUCCGGAUUUAUUGGGUUUAAAGGGUGCGUAGGCGGAUCUUUAAGUCAGUGGUGAAAGCCUGCAGCUCAACUGUAGAAUUGCCAUUGAAACUGAAGAUCUUGAAUUAGGUUAAAGUAGGCGGAAUGUAUCAUGUAGCGGUGAAAUGCUUAGAUAUGAUACAGAACACCGAUAGCGAAGGCAGCUUGCUGAACCUAUAUUGACGCUGAGGCACGAAAGCGCGGGGAGCGAACAGGAUUAGAUACCCUGGUAGUCCACGCCCUAAACGUUGAUUACUCGUUGUUGGCGAUAUACAGUCAGCGAC